rnacentral:misc_RNA from 1 species
GAUGAAGAACGUAGCGAAAUGCGAUAAGUAAUGUGAAUUGCAGAAUUCAGUGAAUCAUCGAAUCUUUGAACGCAUCUUGCGCUCCUUGGUAUUCUGAGGAGCAUGCCUGUUUGAGUGUCAUUAAAUUCUCAACUACACUGACUUUGAAUUGGUGUGGCUUGGAUUUGGGGGGAAAAUUGUUGUGGGCUUUUUGUAUAGUCUGCUCCCCUGAAAUUGAUUAACGGUACCUUUGUGGAACUGUCUACAGGUGUGAUAAUUAUCUACAUCUUAGACAUCUGCUGGAAUGCUGCUUUCUAAACCUUACUUGUAUUGACAAUCUUGACCUCAAAUCAGGUAGGACUACCCGCUGAACUUAAGCAUAUCAAUAAGCGGAGGA